AUUUACAGAACACAAGAUUGAUCAUGAUACCAAAAAUGCAUGAAUAGAGGAAAUCCAAUUUGCAAAACACAAGAUUGAUAAAAUUUCUGGCCACUUAACGAUAAAUAAGGAUUCAAAUAUGAUUUUCACAUAUUGUAUAAGUCUCCUAGUAUCCUCAUUCACGUCUCCUAGUAAUCCCUGUUGUAAAAAGGCUGCUUCUUCUUCUUCUUCUUCUCGUGCUUCUUCUUCUUAUACAUGAUCAUCAUCAUCGUCUUCUACUUCUUAUUCUUCUUUUUCUUCUUCUUCAUCACGUUCUUAUUCAUUUUCUUAUUCUUAUUCUUCUCUUCUUAUUCUCCUUAUUCUUCUUAUACAUCAUCAUCAUCAUCUUCUUCUCAUUCUUAUUAUUCUUCUUCUUUUUCUCCUCCUC
rnacentral:lncRNA from 1 species